rnacentral:rRNA from 1 species
GACGAACGCUGGCGGCGUGCCUAAUACAUGCAAGUCGAACGCAGUGGGGACGGGUGAGUAACACGUGGGUAACCUCCCAUCAGAGGGGAUAACACUUGGAAACAGGUGCUAAACCGAUACUGAUGGAUGGACCCGCGGUGCAUUAGCUAGUUGGUGAGGUAACGGCUCACCAAGGCCAAGAUGCAUAGCCGACCUGAGAGGUGUAUCGGCCACACUGGGACUGAGACACGGCCCAGACUCCUCCGUGAGGCAGCAGUAGGGAAUCUUCGGAAAUGGACGAAAGUCUGACCGAGCAACGCGGCAUGAGUGAAGAAGGUUUUCGGAUCGUAAAACUCUGUUGUUAGAGAAGCGGUAUCUAACCAGCACGCCACGGCUAACUACGUGCCAGCCGCCGCGGUAAUUC